rnacentral:rRNA from 1 species
AACGAACGCUGGCGGCAUGCCUAACACAUGCAAGUCGAACGAGACCUUCGGGUCUAGUGGCGCACGGGUGCGUAACGCGUGGGAACCUGCCCUUAGGUUCGGAAUAACUCUCCGAAAGGGGUGCUAAUACCGGAUAAUGUCUUCGGACCAAAGAUUUAUCGCCUUUGGAUGGGCCCGCGUUGGUUUAGCUAGUUGGUAGGGUAAAAGCCUACCAAGGCUACGAUCCAUAGCUGGUCUGAGAGGAUGAUCAGCCACACUGGGACUGAGACACGGCCCAGACUCCUACGGGAGGCAGCAGUGGGGAAUAUUGGACAAUGGGCGAAGGCCUGAUCCAGCAAUACCGCGUGAGUGAUGAAGGCCUUAGGGUUGUAAAGCUCUUUUACCCGGGAUGAUAAUGACAGUACCGGGAGAAUAAGCUCCGGCUAACUCCGUG